CUCUCGCGAGACUUGGCGGGGCGGAGGGGAAGGGCCGCGCCCCGGCUGAGAUGGCGGCCGGGGUGGUGGCGGGGGGAACUUCAGGGUCUCUCAGGGUCUGUCAGGGUCCUCCGGGCUCCCCCAUCGCCCCUCAGCGCGGGGAGAGGCCGCACGCUGGGCUUUGGCUGGGUAUGGCCGCCGCGGUGGUGUCAGGCAGCCGCUUGUGCCACCCAGCGCCCUCAGGAACAGUCCAGACCGGCGUUGAUCGGGUGCUGCCCCCUCAGUACCACAGAAAAGGUUUCUGGUGUAGUGAACCGCGAAGGAGGUCUGGGGAGAAAAGCUGCUGGAAGGCCACAAGCAAAACGAAAAAAAAAAAAAGUGUGCGGAAUGGUGCCUUGUGAGAGAAAAAUUCUAUAUUUCACGGGUUUUUGUAACUGUGUUUUUAGUAAUCUUUCCUUAAACUAAUUUUUGAAGUUUUAAAGUUUCUCCUUCUGAAAAUGCCCUGGGUCCUUCAUGCUCAGUGUAUAUUCAUUCAUUAAGCUGGUUAGAAAUUUUGCCAUAUAUGCAGGUAACUUUGAGGUCUUUUUUUAACCUAGAUGGUUAAUGAUUCUAAUGAUUCUAAAUUAUUCUAUUUUUAUAGUAAAUUGGAAGACUAGGCUAGAGAGUGACUAGUGAUCAGGGUUACCUUACAGAUGUAACAUCCAGGCUUCAGUUCAACAAGGAAAUUAAUUUUUAAAAUGAAACUUCAUCAAGUUUAUGUUCUGCAUUACCUGAAGGGAAAGUUUGUCACUCUCUACAACUCCCUGGCAGGAGGUUUAGAUUAGAUAUUAGGAAAUAUUUCUUCAUGGAAAGGGUUGUCCAGCAUCAGAACAGGCUGUCCAGGGAAAUGGUGGAGUCACCAUCCCUGGAGGUGUUCAAAAACGUGUGAAUGUGGCACCUGGGGACAUGAUUUUGUGCUGAGUUGAUGGCUGAGCUCUAAAAGCUCUAAUAUUCCAGUUUCAUCCAUUGGAAAUGGAAAUAAUGUCCCUCCUUUGCGCUGUCCACUUACCCCCAGGGGUGCGAUGUUACACAAGAGCACUGACUGUUCACUCCGUGUGAGGCCACCAGGGUGCUCUGAUGUUCUCCAAGCGCUGCUAAAGUGGAUUUGAAGCAGCUCCAUGUCACGUGGCAAAGUCCUGGAGUCCUCCUUCCCAUGGAAACACCUCAGUGCUCCAAGGACAUGGUCACAUGAAGAAUUACUUGGCAAAGCUGAUGGUGCACAAGGGACCAGACUCCAAGAUGAAAAGCAAGCCUUGCUGGAAUGUGAAAGCACAGAUUGCACCCUGGAUGAAUGUGGGCAGGAGCUGGAUGAAUAAAGAGAAGUGUUAGGGCUUCACUCAGAGCAACAGUUCACCUAAAAACCCAUCUCCAGUAUUUGCUGUAAGAGAAGAAUAGGUCAAACAAGCUGCUGUGUCACUUCAGCUCCCUCUUUAUUGGUGUUCAAGUGAGCGACUCUGAAUUCCUCAGCUGUAGGAUGUGAUUGUUCAAUAGGGCCAUGAAGCCUCUCCAGAAUGCCUCUCACAAGCAGAAUGCAAAGCCCCUGCAGAAAGGAAGUUAAAUAAAAUACAACCCCCCACCUUUGUCAUGAAGAGAGGAAAAGCCAAAUAAAAACCCAUGUCUAAGA